rnacentral:rRNA from 1 species
UACGGGAGGCAGCAGUGGGGAAUAUUGCACAAUGGGCGCAAGCCUGAUGCAGCCAUGCCGCGUGUAUGAAGAAGGCCUUCGGGUUGUAAAGUACUUUCAGUCGUGAGGAAGGUGUUAAGGUUAAUAACCUUAGCAAUUGACGUUAGCGACAGAAGAAGCACCGGCUAACUCCGUGCCAGCAGCCGCGGUAAUACGGAGGGUGCGAGCGUUAAUCGGAAUUACUGGGCGUAAAGGGCACGCAGGCGGUUAAUUAAGUUGGAUGUGGAAUCCCCGGGCUUAACCUGGGAAUGGCAUUCAAGACUGGUUAGCUAGAGUCUUGUAGAGGGGGUAGAAUUCCGAUGUGUAGCGGUGAAAUGCGUAGAGAUGUGGAGGAAUACCGGUGGCGAAGGCGGCCCCUGGACAAAGGACUGACGCUCAUGUGCGAAAGCGUGGGGAGCGAAACAGGGAUUAGAUACC